CGUAGGAAUCUACCCAGUAGCGGGGGAUAGCCCGGGGAAACUCGGAUUAAUACCGCAUACGCCCUACGGGGGAAAGAUGGCCUCUUCUUGAAAGCUAUCGCUAUUGGAGGAGCCUGCGUUGGAUUAGCUAGUUGGUGGGGUAAAGGCCUACCAAGGCGACGAUCCAUAGCUGGUCUGAGAGGACGAUCAGCCACACUGGGACUGAGACACGGCCCAGACUCCUACGGGAGGCAGCAGUCGGGAAUAUUGGACAAUGGGCGCAAGCCUGAUCCAGCCAUGCCGCGUGUGUGAAGAAGGCCUUAGGGUUGUAAAGCACUUUCAGGAGUGAAGAAAAGCGUUGGGUGAAUAAUCUGACGUUUUGACGUUAGCUCCAGAAGAAGCACCGGCUAACUCCGUGCCAGCAGCCGCGGUAAUACGGAGGGUGCGAACGUUAAUCGGAAUUACUGGGCGUAAAGCGCGCGUAGGCGGCUUGUUAAGUCAGAUGUGAAAGCCCCGGGCUCAACCUGGGAAUUGCAUUUGAAACUGGCAAGUUAGAGUGCAGUAGAGGGA
rnacentral:rRNA from 1 species